ensembl:lncRNA
AGCUCAGGGGGUCUGGUCCUGCUCCCACCGCCUUGCUCGGAGCCGUGGGAUGGGGAUGCUCUGUGUCUAUCUCAGCUCUAGGGACACUCUGGGUCUCCAGAAGCCACACAGCCCUCCUGGUCCAUUGGUGUUCAACCCCAUCCAAGGAGCUGGGGAGGAAAGGACAAGUUAUGGGACGCAAGGAACCUUCAGGAUGCCUUGGGAAUGGAGGGGAUGCAGCCAGUUUGGGUCCUGUCUCUUUUGGUCCAGCAGAAAACCGUGUGUGCGAUCAGAGCUGGGAAAGUGCUCCUGCUGGCUGUAAUUAGGGAUGUCAUUGCAAAGCAUUAUCUCACAGAGCUGGAGCCUAUACAGAGCCAUACGUCUUCCGUAGCCAAUUGUGCACGGAGGUGAUGGGAGAGGGAAGGGUGCUGGGAACGCUCUCCCUCACUCAUUUCCAGGACGUUCUGCUGCUGUGUGGUCCCUUUCCCUUCUCACAGAGCAAUGAUGAAAGCAGACAGCCAGCGAGACCCCGGGGAGCCGCGCAGUGCAGCCCAUGGCUUCUCUUCCAGCCAAGGCUGUGUGGAGCUGCGGGUCCUCACCCCCAGCUGGGCUCAGCCCACUCCUCCAUUUCCCGUUCGCUUUCUCCCAGAGCAUAUUUUCGGGACGUGGAGAUGUCCCAACCCUCCCUUCCUCCCCAGCGGUAGCGCAUCUCGGAGGGGCCACGAGGGCCGUCGCUGCCGGUCCUGCUCUUCUCGUAAAGCACAGCGAGCUUCUGGCCAGCAGCAGCCAUGCAAUUUCAGAGAUUGAGCAAAUUCCCCCUCCCACCCACUGAGGACCUCCCGGGACCGGCGCACAUCCCACCACAGGCAGCAGCCACCUCGGCCAGCCGCCCAUUGCUGCAACGGCUUGAGUCAAUCGAGACCAUUUCUCAUGCAACCCAUCCGUACCGGAGGUCCCCAGGAGGAGGGUUGGCUCAGGAAAACCUUCAGCCCCAAACCCAGCACUCCCCCAUGCAGCUGACGGAGCACAGCUCACAGCGCAGUGACCCGAAGCGCCGCGCCGUCUGUGCCACGUCCAGCUGGCCCUUCCGCUUUGCUGGCGUGCUCCUUCCUGCUUUUAUUUUGGCUCUUUUUUGUGUGGUUUUUUUUCUUUUUUUUUGGCUACGUAUGCGUGCAAGUCCAGAUGGGAGGAAAGGUCAGACUUGCUGAUGGUAAGGCCCAGGCUGAAAUCUGGGUUUGCCCUAAACCCGGGAUGGCUGUGGCUGGAUGAGCCCUGCUGGUGGGCUCAGCCAUCUGCCAGGAGAGCUGCGCCGGGCUCUGCGCUCACACGUUGGGGCUGUUGGAGCUCUGGCUCAUCUCCAUCCCGGUUCUGUCCUUGCCCACAUGCAGCUCCGCUCAUCACUGCCCACCCAAACACGCUCGGCCUCCUCUCGCUCAGCUCCUGACCUUUAUUCUCCCUUAAAUCAAUACGCAGAGCCGUGCUGCAGCAGUACCAGCACCUCCGGGGAGCCCAGGUGAUGUAUAGCAUCCAAGGAGCUGCUUCUGCUUUUGAGGCUCCCAUCCAGAUAAGCUUUUGUCUUUCCAAUCUGUCCUGUGCUGCGUGGGCCCUGCGUUCAUCCCCUCUGCUCCUGGCACUAUUGACUCCACAUUUGCUUUCAUUCUGCUGUAAAAUGAAGGCAGCUCCAGGUACAACAGCGGUUUUAUUCUUCCUGAAUAUAAUGCCUUUAUGAAAAUAAAAUCAAAAGUGAGUUGGGACCGGAAAGGUUUAAUUAAAAAGCUUCAGGGGGGAAUAAGAAAUCUGUUAGGAAACCUCUGCGGACGUUCAGCAAGUUCUCCCUGCAGAGAAGCAGCCUGAAGGGAGCUGCAGUGUCUGCCUGUGCCCUGCUGGUGGGAAGGGAUGAGAGGUGCAGUGAAGCUGGGAGCAGCCCAGGUCAGGUGUUUGCCUUUCCCACUGCUGCACCAAAAGCAGCCAUAACCACAAAGACCCCACCUCCUAUUCCCUCAUACCCCUCGGGGAAAGGAUAGGAACUGCUUUCUUGGCCAGGCUGAAGCUGACAUCCGCCAGUCCCAAUGCCUGAUCAAUGCAAACCAAUGGACUUUUCCCAUCAGAACACGUCCUUUUUUUUCCAGCAGGAUGCCGAGUUCUCAGACAAAUGAAGGCUCCGUUUGGCAGCGGAUAGAAAACAGGAAUAUUUGUCUUUAUUCCGAGACUGAAUUUUUGUGGCUAAGCUGCACCAAAAAUACAUCUUCCCCCCCCACCUCUCCCAGACAUGAGACACCAUUGAAUGCUGAAAGCAACUCUUCCCUGCCACAAAUGG